CAGUCACUAGGGGUCAACAUAGCAAUGUUAGGUUCCUGGCAGCCUGACAGCCACAACACUCUGGGGUGUCUUUGAGGUGUCACGGCCCCUAAACAAAAGCCCUAGAAUAUUUCACUUGAGUACAGUCAUCUCUGCAUCUGUGGAUUCUGCUAACCAUGGAUCAAACAUACUCAGGAAAAAAUUGCAUUGAUACUGAACACAUGCGCAUUUUUUCUUUUGUCUUUCCUAAACAAUACAAUAUGAUAACUGUUGACAAGGGAUUAUAAGUACAGAGAGAUGGUUUAAAAUACACGGGAGGACGUGGGUAGGUUUUGUGCACAGGCUACCCAUUUUAUACAAGGGAUUUGCGCCCCCUCGGAUUUGGGUAGGGAGGGUGUGGUCCUGGACCCAAACCCCAAGUCUAGACAGCUGUGCUUCAGUCUCCUUUUCGACAAGCCAGAGUAUUUACCCUACAAAGCAAAGACCUUUCGUGCAUAACCCCUGGUACUGCCGGGUUUGGGCGGCAGUGAGGGGCUGUGUGAGGUGAGGGAAGUUGCUGGCUUAGCAGCGGGGAGGAGCUCCGGGAAGAGGAGCCUGUCAGGGGCCUGCUCACAGGCGAGCUCACACCCGUGGGGCUCACCUGGCUCUUGUUAGGCUGCAGAUGCCCAUGGGCCGGGCUGGGUGGGGCCUGGCCUCUGCACCUAACAAGCUCGGCCUUACGAGUCGCAGGGCUCGGGAGAACAGCCUGGACCUGGGCCUCUGAGUGACCUCGCAUACUGCCUGCUUCUCUGCUGGGGGACACCGGAGUCCCAUGGGUGUGACGCCAGUGUCCGAGCCCCAUGCUUCCACUGUGCAGGCCUGGCCGCCGAGCAGGGGUUGCCCUGGCAGGAGAGGAUGGGGCCAUCGAGAGGAAAGGCAGGCGUGUUUCAGACCAUCGAGCAGCUGGCCAGAAAAGCAGCCCCACCUGAUCGAGCACAGAAUCCUAGUCUGGUCCCUGGAGGAGAAGCCCUUGGGAGCACUUCAGGGAACAGCACUGUGGGCUGAGAGGAAACCUGCCCAUCUACUCACAGAGCCCAGUGUCAUCUCUGGAGCAGCCCCUGCCCCAUCCCAAAAGGGAGGGGACUGGGCCUCGUACUGGAAAACUCAGAGUCCGGACCUCAGGACACAUGUGUCAUCUCCCUGGAGCAUCCUUUUAUUUAAUGAGUUGGGGAGGGGGCUAUUUUUUAAUUAAAUGUAUCUUCUGUCAAAAUAAACACAACACAUUUGGAAACAAAAGCACACUUUCCAUUAAUUUUUAAAAGAAGACACUUCUAAGUAUGAGCAAUGUCCCUAGAUACUCCCUCUGUCCCCCAAAAGACACAUCCCCUUUGCUCUGUCCUUCAACAUUUCGGGAGAAAAUGCAAGAAGCUGAUUUUAAGGAAAGAAAGCACAACGGCUGGACCCUGUGCAGCUGGGUGUGACUCCAAGGCGCUGCCGGUGACAAACUGUAUCACACCAGUGACUGCGCUGCGUCCUACGUCACGGGCCACGCCAGUUACUGUGCUGGGCCAGUUUCCUAUAAUGGAAACAAGAAUUCCUACCUCACGGGUCUGCUGUAAGGAUUAAACAAGCUCAAGUUUGUCCAAGCCUUACACACCCAGCCACAGCUCGCUUUAUUGUGCUCCGCUGCAUUGCCCUUCAUGGAUACUGUGCUUUUCUGUAAGUCUGGCGUUUGUGAGAGCCCUGCGUGCAGCAGCAGGUCCCCUGGUGUCAUUCUUCUAACAGCUCAGGUAGGCGUUAGCAUUUUU
rnacentral:lncRNA from 1 species